CUAGCUCGCAGACUGUAUGAGAGUCAAACCUUCCUCGAUUCGGCAUUCAAACCAUUGACUUGGGACACCAUUAAUUAACCAUUAAUUAUCUCAAGUGGCGACUCUGAAAUCUUCGAAUAAAUAAAUUUUGUUUCGGUUGUCCUUUUAUUAGAAAAACUCCCUUAUCUACACCCUUCGAGGGGUGUAGUGCUAAAAAAGAGGUGUGACACCUAGUCGGGAGAGGACUAGCUUCCCAAUUGUUUACUUUUGCACAGGGCCCAACAAAUUGCACGUCUGCCUUGCUAGAACCCUCUCC
rnacentral:lncRNA from 1 species